UCCUACGGGAGGCAGCAGUAGGGAAUCUCCCGCAAUGGACGAAAGUCUGACGGAGCAACGCCGCGUGAGUGAUGAAGGCUUUCGGAUCGUAAAACUCUGUUGUUAGGGAAGAACAAGUUGGGUAGUAACUGACCCAACCUUGACGGUACCUAACCAGAAAGCCACGGCUAACUACGUGCCAGCAGCCGCGGUAAUACGUAGGUGGCAAGCGUUGUCCGGAAUUAUUGGGCGUAAAGCGCGCGCAGGUGGUUUCUUAAGUCUGAUGUGAAAGCCCACGGCUCAACCGUGGAGGGUCAUUGGAAACUGGGAGACUUGAGUGCAGAAGAGGAAAGUGGAAUUCCAUGUGUAGCGGUGAAAUGCGUAGAGAUAUGGAGGAACACCAGUGGCGAAGGCGACUUUCUGGUCUGUAACUGACACUGAGGCGCGAAAGCGUGGGGAGCAAACAGGAUUAGAUACCCUGGUAGUCCACGCCGUAAACGAUGAGUGCUAAGUGUUAGAGGGUUUCCGCCCUUUAGUGCUGAAGUUAACGCAUUAAGCACUCCGCCUGGGGAGUACGGCCGCAAGGCUGAAACUCAAAGGAAUUGACGGA
rnacentral:rRNA from 1 species